rnacentral:sRNA from 1 species
UGACGUCCUUGACUGACCCACAGAACAGGUACAGUCUGGGCAGUGGUAGUGCAGCCUUCCCCCUCCCUGCCCCAUCCAUCUGCUUUGAUGCUGAGAGGGAGGAGUCACUCCUAAUCAUCUAUGGGGGUGGGUCA